CCUACGGGGGGCUGCAGUGGGGAAUAUUGGGCAAUGGGCGAAAGCCUGACCCAGCAACGCCGCGUGAAGGAAGAAGGUUUUCGGAUUGUAAACUUCUGUCCUCAGGGAAGAAGAAAGUGACGGUACCUGAGGAGGAAGCCCCGGCUAACUACGUGCCAGCAGCCGCGGUAAUACGUAGGGGGCGAGCGUUGUCCGGAAUGACUGGGCGUAAAGGGCGCGUAGACGGCUGUCUAAGUCUGGAGUGAAAGUCCUGCUUUCAAGGUGGGAAUUGCUUUGGAGACUGGAUGGCUUGAGUGCGGAAGAGGUAAGUGGAAUUCCCAGUGUAGCGGUGAAAUGCGUAGAGAUUGGGAGGAACACCAGUGGCGAAGGCGACUUACUGGGCCGUAACUGACGUUGAUGCGCGAAAGCGUGGGGAGCGAACAGGAUUAGAUACCCGGGUAGUC
rnacentral:rRNA from 1 species